CGCCUACAUGAAGCUGGAGUUGCUAGUAAUCGCGAAUCAGAAUGUCGCGGUGAAUACGUUCCCGGGCCUUGUACACACCGCCCGUCACACCAUGAGAGUUGGCAAUACCCAAAGUUCGUGAGCUAACCGUAAGGAGGCAGCGACCUAAGGUAGGGUCAGCGAUUGGGGUGAAGUCGUAACAAGGUAGCCGUAGGAGAACCUGCGGCUGGAUCACCUCCUUU
rnacentral:ncRNA from 1 species